AACGAACGCUGGCGGCAUGCCUAACACAUGCAAGUCGAACGAGACCUUCGGGUCUAGUGGCGCACGGGUGCGUAACGCGUGGGAACCUGCCCUUAGGUUCGGAAUAACUCCCCGAAAGGGGUGCUAAUACCGCAUAAUGUCUUCGGCCCAAAGAUUUAUCGCCUUUGGAUGGGCCCGCGUUGGAUUAGCUAGUUGGUAGGGUAAAAGCCUACCAAGGCGACGAUCCAUAGCUGGUCUGAGAGGAUGAUCAGCCACACUGGGACUGAGACACGGCCCAGACUCCUACGGGAGGCAGCAGUGGGGAAUAUUGGACAAUGGGCGAAAGCCUGAUCCAGCAAUGCCGCGUGAGUGAUGAAGGCCGUAGGGUUGUAAAGCUCUUUUACCCGGGAUGAUAAUGACAGUACCGGGAGAAUAAGCUCCGGCUAACUCCGUG
rnacentral:rRNA from 1 species